rnacentral:rRNA from 1 species
GAUGAACGCUGGCGGCGUGCCUAAUACAUGCAAGUCGAACGCAUUGAGAGAAGUGCUUGCACUUUUCAAUUUGAGUGGCGAACGGGUGAGUAACACGUGGGCAACCUACCUGAUAGCGGGGGAUAACGAGUGGAAACAUUCGCUAAUACCGCAUAACAAUAGAGAAGGCAUCUUCUUUAUUUAAAAGGCGCUUUCAAGCGUCACUAUCAGAUGGGCCCGCGGUGCAUUAGUUAGUUGGUGGGGUGAAGGCCUGCCAAGACGAUGAUGCAUAGCCGGGGUGAGAGACUGAUCGGCCACAUUGGGACUGAGACCCGGCCCAAGCUCCUACGGGAGGCUGCAGUAGGGAAUCUUCCACCAUGGACGAAAGUCUGAUGGAGCAACGCCGCGUGUGUGAUGAAGGCUUUCGGGUUGUAAAGCACUGUUGUAUGGGAAGAAAUGCUAGGCUAGGAAAUGGGCUUAGUUUGACGGUACCAUACCAGAAAGGGACGGCUAAAUACGUGCCAGCAGCCGCAGUAA